GGAAGAGAAAGAAAAUUCGAUUCCCUUAGUAGCGGCGAGCGAAACGGGAAGAGCCCAAACCAACAAGCUUGCUUGUUGGGGUUGUAGGACACUCUGUACGGAGUUACAAAGGACGACAUUAGACGAAUCAUCUGGAAAGAUGAAUCAAAGAAGGUAAUAAUCCUGUAGUCGAAAAUGUUGUCUCUCUUAAGUGGAUCCUGAGUACGACGGAGCACGUGAAAUUCCGUCGGAAUCUGGGAGGACCAUCUCCUAAGGCUAAAUACUCUCUAGUGACCGAUAGUGAACCAGUACCGUGAGGGAAAGGUGAAAAGCACCCCGGAAGGAGAGUGAAAUAGAACCUGAAACCGUGUGCUUACAAGUAGUCAGAGCCCGUUAAUGGGUGAUGGCGUGCCUUUUGUAGAAUGAACCGGCGAGUUACGAUUUGAUGCAAGGUUAAGCAGUAAAUGUGGAGCCGUAGCGAAAGCGAGUCUGAAUAGGGCGUUUAGUAUUUGGUCGUAGACCCGAAACCAGGUGAUCUACCCUUGGUCAGGUUGAAGUUCAGGUAACACUGAAUGGAGGACCGAACCGACUUACGUUGAAAAGUGAGCGGAUGAACUGAGGGUAGCGGAGAAAUUCCAAUCGAACCUGGAGAUAGCUGGUUCUCUCCGAAAUAGCUUUAGGGCUAGCCUCAAGUGAUGAUUAUUGGAGGUAGAGCACUGUUUGGACGAGGGGCCCCUCUCGGGUUACCGAAUUCAGACAAACUCCGAAUGCCAAUUAAUUUAACUUGGGAGUCAGAACAUGGGUGAUAAGGUCCGUGUUCGAAAGGGAAACAGCCCAGACCACCAGCUAAGGUCCCAAAAUAUAUGUUAAGUGGAAAAGGAUGUGGCGUUGCCCAGACAACUAGGAUGUUGGCUUAGAAGCAGCCAUCAUUUAAAGAGUGCGUAAUAGCUCACUAGUCGAGUGACACUGCGCCGAAAAUGUACCGGGGCUAAACAUAUUACCGAAGCUGUGGAUUGUCCUUUGGACAAUGGUAGGAGAGCGUUCUAAGGGCGUUGAAGCAUGAUCGUAAGGACAUGUGGAGCGCUUAGAAGUGAGAAUGCCGGUGUGAGUAGCGAAAGACGGGUGAGAAUCCCGUCCACCGAUUGACUAAGGUUUCCAGAGGAAGGCUCGUCCGCUCUGGGUUAGUCGGGUCCUAAGCUGAGGCCGACAGGCGUAGGCGAUGGAUAACAGGUUGAUAUUCCUGUACCACCUAUAAUCGUUUUAAUCGAUGGGGGGACGCAGUAGGAUAGGCGAAGCGUGCGAUUGGAUUGCACGUCUAAGCAGUAAGGCUGAGUAUUAGGCAAAUCCGGUACUCGUUAAGGCUGAGCUGUGAUGGGGAGAAGACAUUGUGUCUUCGAGUCGUUGAUUUCACACUGCCGAGAAAAGCCUCUAGAUAGAAAAUAGGUGCCCGUACCGCAAACCGACACAGGUAGUCAAGAUGAGAAUUCUAAGGUGAGCGAGCGAACUCUCGUUAAGGAACUCGGCAAAAUGACCCCGUAACUUCGGGAGAAGGGGUGCUCUUUAGGGUUAACGCCCAGAAGAGCCGCAGUGAAUAGGCCCAAGCGACUGUUUAUCAAAAACACAGGUCUCUGCUAAACCGUAAGGUGAUGUAUAGGGGCUGACGCCUGCCCGGUGCUGGAAGGUUAAGAGGAGUGGUUAGCUUCUGCGAAGCUACGAAUCGAAGCCCCAGUAAACGGCGGCCGUAACUAUAACGGUCCUAAGGUAGCGAAAUUCCUUGUCGGGUAAGUUCCGACCCGCACGAAAGGCGUAACGAUUUGGGCACUGUCUCAACGAGAGACUCGGUGAAAUCAUAGUACCUGUGAAGAUGCAGGUUACCCGCGACAGGACGGAAAGACCCCGUGGAGCUUUACUGUAGCCUGAUAUUGAAAUUCGGCACAGCUUGUACAGGAUAGGUAGGAGCCUUUGAAACGUGAGCGCUAGCUUACGUGGAGGCGCUGGUGGGAUACUACCCUAGCUGUGUUGGCUUUCUAACCCGCACCACUUAUCGUGGUGGGAGACAGUGUCAGGCGGGCAGUUUGACUGGGGCGGUCGCCUCCUAAAAGGUAACGGAGGCGCUCAAAGGUUCCCUCAGAAUGGUUGGAAAUCAUUCAUAGAGUGUAAAGGCAUAAGGGAGCUUGACUGCGAGACCUACAAGUCGAGCAGGGUCGAAAGACGGACUUAGUGAUCCGGUGGUUCCGCAUGGAAGGGCCAUCGCUCAACGGAUAAAAGCUACCCCGGGGAUAACAGGCUUAUCUCCCCCAAGAGUUCACAUCGACGGGGAGGUUUGGCACCUCGAUGUCGGCUCAUCGCAUCCUGGGGCUGUAGUCGGUCCCAAGGGUUGGGCUGUUCGCCCAUUAAAGCGGUACGCGAGCUGGGUUCAGAACGUCGUGAGACAGUUCGGUCCCUAUCCGUCGUGGGCGUAGGAAAUUUGAGAGGAGCUGUCCUUAGUACGAGAGGACCGGGAUGGACAUACCUCUGGUGUACCAGUUGUCGUGCCAACGGCAUAGCUGGGUAGCUAUGUGUGGACGGGAUAAGUGCUGAAAGCAUCUAAGCAUGAAGCCCCCCUCAAGAUGAGAUUUCCCAACUUCGGUUAUAAGAUCCCUCAAAGAUGAUGAGGUUAAUAGGUUCGAGGUGGAAGCAUGGUGACAUGUGGAGCUGACGAAUACUAAUCGAUCGAAGACUUAAUCAA
rnacentral:rRNA from 1 species